CUUUCUCACAACUAGCAGGGACUGAAAAAGUCAGUGACUGCUCUACUUUCCUAAGUAAUAGUUUCUACGAAGUAUCAGCUCCUGAGAAACAAUUUAUUGAGUUUUGCCUCUAGACCUUGAUGGAAUUAGGCCUGUGUCACCAUUUCAUGGGGAGAGAAGUCCUCUCAGAAAAAGUGGUCUUAUUUAUGGAGCCAUACCCAGUCCCACCACAGGUCUCCAAACAGUUCCUCAGACUGCAGCCUGGGUCAGCAACCACUGUUCCUGAAUGCCAUGUGAAUUCUCUGACUCUCGAAACUUGGGAAUGAGAUAUCCCAGAGAUGACCCUGAACAGCCCACUAAAAUAUGAAGUGACCCUUAGGUUUUUCAUGGUGUCUCCUGUAGGCAGCUACCAACACUGCAGGACACAGCUGCUGAAGACACUCACCUCCCCAGCAUCUCUGCUAGAGGUUCCACACCAGCCUGUGAGGACCCCGGAGCAGCACAGCUCCCCUAACCACAGAGGGCCCUCUAAACCAGGCCCACAGCUCCUAGGGCCUGUCUUCCACCAGCUUCUGGAAUUGAAGAAUACAGGACAACACUGUUUCUAUAUUGCUGCAAGAGAAACAAUAAAAGCUUGAUCAGCUGAAUGCUUAAAUAUGGCUGAAUGUUUGAUGAGAUGAAGAUGUAAUUUUGUCUAUGUUCCCUAAGGAUCUGGAUUAAAUAUGACUACAGGGCCUAAUCAAAUAGCUAGUCACUGAACAACGGUCCCAACUGCAUUUUUCAUUCUAGGCAUGCCUUUCUCCCUCACCACCCCCCCAAGUACAUUACUUAUUCACUGGUUUGUCAGCAGUGUGCAUUAUUAGCGCUUGAGAGAUAAAACUUUAAGUGU
rnacentral:lncRNA from 1 species